UAUUAAAAAUUUCAUCUAUUUUUACUAUUAAAAACUGGCAUAACUGGCAGAAUAACUAGACAAGGACACACGACAUGCCACAUGUACCUAAUGUUAACAUACAUGGACCAAUUUUUAGCAAUAGAAAUGGAUGAAAAUUUUAAUA
rfam:Gossypium hirsutum cultivar TM-1 chromosome 20, whole genome shotgun sequence